UACGUAGGCAGCGAGCGUUGUUCGGAGUUACUGGGCGUAAAGGGUGUGUAGGCGGUUCUCUAAGUUUGGUGUGAAAUCUCCCGGCUCAACUGGGAGGGUGCGCCGAAUACUGAAUGACUAGAGUGCGGGAGAGGAGAGUGGAAUUCCUGGUGUAGCGGUGAAAUGCGUAGAUAUCAGGAGGAACACCAAUGGCGAAGGCAGCACUCUGGGACGGUACUGACGCUGAGACGCGAAAGCGUGGGGAGCAAACAGG
rnacentral:rRNA from 1 species